CCGGCCCGGUGUCUGCGGUUCGUUGUUCGUUGAAUAUUGAAAUAUAUUUAUUAUUGUUAAAAUAUCGACUGCACGCGAAACAUACGCGUAUACGUUUUUAUUAUUUAUGACGAUUAGCCGGUAUUUUCGCACGAAAAAUAUUUUCAAGCCGUUCAUACGCGCGACUCGAGCAUGAUAUUUAUACCAUGGACGGAUAUUCGGA